rnacentral:misc_RNA from 1 species
GAUGAAGAACGCAGCGAAAUGCGAUAAGUAGUGUGAAUUGCAGAAUUCAGUGAAUCAUCGAAUCUUUGAACGCACAUUGCGCCCUUUGGUAUUCCUUAGGGCAUGCCUGUUCGAGCGCCAUUUAAACCUUCAAGCUAAGCUUGGUGUUGGGUGACUGUCCGCUUCACUGCGGACUCGCCUCAAAAUUAUUGGCGGCCGGUACAUUGGCUUCGAGCGCAGCAGAAACGCGAACUCGGGCCCGUCGUAUUGGCUCCCAGAAGCUAUCUUCACAAUUUUGACCUCGGAUCAGGUAGGGAUACCCGCUGAACUUAAGCAUAUCAAUAAGCGGAGGA